UACGUAGGGGGCAAGCGUUGUCCGGAAUCACUGGGCGUAAAGAGCGUGUAGGCGGCUUCGUCAGUCCGUUGUGAAAGUCCAGGGCUCAACCCUGGAAAGCCGGUGGAAACUGUCGAGCUAGAGUCCGGAAGAGGCGAGUGGAAUUCCUGGUGUAGCGGUGAAAUGCGCAGAUAUCAGGAGGAACACCAAUGGCGAAGGCAGCUCGCUGGGACGGUACUGACGCUGAGACGCGAAAGCGUGGGGAGCAAACAGG
rnacentral:rRNA from 1 species